GUUCACAGAGUCAUACGCGUUGCGGGAAGCCCCGAAGUCAUCGGUAGCGUCUUUAGAGUACGAGUUAAUAAAAUAAAUAGUAUAUUGUUUUAUGAAUUAAUUUAAUUUUUAGUUAAUAUUUGGAUGAGAGAUUCUUGGGAAUUUAUUUUGAUAGAGGGAUUUUUUAGGAUUUAAUUGGAUUUAAACUAAGAGUAUUUUG
rnacentral:lncRNA from 1 species